UCUUGGGCUGUUAUUUUUUUUGAUCCGUGAAAAGGGAAGCCCAAAUCUGGGAAAAUCUUAUAAUGUCGACAUCUCAUCUCUUCACUCUUUAGUAACUCUAAAACGGCCAGGUAUGAAUCUCUUCGACAUCUCAUCUCUUCGAUAUCUCAUCUCUUCGCCAUUUCCCCUUCUUCUUUUAACUAAGAUGCUUGACCAUUUGCUGUGCCUCUUUGGAUACCACGAUCUAUUCAAACUCCGAUCAAAGCAAGUGUAUCGGUUUCAGUUUUCACUUUGAUUUCCUUGAAGCCCUAACUAGAAAUCCGACAAUAGAUCCACUGUUCAAUCCUCCUUCCAUGGAAACCCUUUCCUGUGUUUGUGCUCAAUUCCAAGAUGGGAGGCGAAUGAGUAUUCUUUGAAGCUUACGCUGGCAGAUAGUAUGUCUUCAUGAUGUAUCCCUUUCUUUGGUAUUUUCUUUUGGUUUAUUUUUUAAAAUCUUUUGAAUUUCAGUUAUAUAAUCCUUAUUCGUUAUGCUAAUGGUAUUAGGGGAUUUUGUAAUAUCAACCAGAUUAAGAUUGAAGAAUUAAAGUAUAUCAAUCUUACAUUGUCGGCAGUAGCUAUAUUAGUUAAUGUCGGUUUGGUUUUCUUUCUGAUUAGAUCUCAUACAUUAAACUCACAAACAAAAUUAACUUGGUUUUGUUUGUAGUUGGGAAUGGGAUUGAUUAGGUUUUGGACAGUCCAAGUAAGUGGGGACAUCGUUGAUAAAGACAGCAAGAAAUGCGUGUCAACGUGUUCAAGUUCAUUGCAUUUUUCAUAAGAGACUAUAUGCGUAUACAUAUACAAUGUACAUGUUUUUUCUCAAAUAUAUUGUGCACUUUGGAUCAAAGUAAACGCAUUAUCUACUUUUAUAAACCAUCCAAGUAGAUUAGGCGCUUCUGAUAAGCUUUCAGACUCUGUUUGUAUCUUACAGCUAUUGAUGGAAACUCAUUAGUCUUCAUGAUUCUGUUUUUUUUUUUGGAAGAUUACAAGCUGAGGGAUCUCAUGAGGUGUACAUUUUCAUAUUCGAUGUAGAGCAUAGACCCAUUGGAUUGGCCAAAACGGAUAUACAUAAUCCAAGGGAAAGGAAGAGGGAAGGCUUCAACCGUAGAGGAUAUAAGUCGUGAGGAUCAGAAAAAAGUCUGAGGCAGAUCUCAGCGCUAAUUCUUAUCUACUAUCCCAGGGGACAAAGCCUGCUUAUGGUUCUUUCGAUCAAAUGGGAAACAUGGUUACGAUUAUCAAAGCUUUAUCAGAUUAUGUUCAUAGCAAACGGCUUAAGCUUGGAAUCUACUCUGAUGCUGAGUAUAUGUAUAUACACAACUGCCACUCAUUAUUAUGGUUCAUAAGAGAUCAGAGAUCGCUGGUGAUAUAGAUUGGUGCCAGUUUCAUCUUUUGCGACGUAUCUCCUUGAUGUUUGAAUGAUCAUAUUGAAACAUACAAGCCGAAGGAGGGAACAUACGACUUGGUAGCAACCAGAGAUAUCUCAUUACAGAACAAGUUCCAUACAAAAGGAAUGGAAUAUAUAGAGAUAACUACUCUAGAAGAUGAGAACGAGAUAAAAAUCGUUCUUGCUGAGUCCAAAGAAAGGAAGCCAGCGAGGAAAUGGUGGAGCUACUGAAGCAGUUGCAGCAAGCAACUCAAGAAGCUGAUGAAGCGAGAUCAUCCUGGCCUUGCUUGUGAAAAGCUGUGAAUGUUUUGAGAAGAGGCAAAGGAAAAAAAGGCUCGACCAGGUACAAUUGAGAGCCGUUUAUUUACAGCUAAGAAGAAAUUGAGGCUGCUAAAGAUUUUUAGAGGUUGGCAUUAGCUGCUGCCAUCAAGGUUUUCGAGAGCGAACAUGCUUUCAAGUAAAACAAUGUUGAUUGUCCGUCAAGCCUAACACUGUCACUAACAGAGUAAUAUGAGCUUAGCAAGUGUACUCAUGAGGCUUAAGAAAAAGCCAACACAAGGGUUGCAGAAAUUCUGAGAUCGAGGUAGCCAAAGAAACAGAGAAAAUAUGCAAAGAGAGGUUGGAAUAAAUAAACAAAGAUAGGGUUGGGAAAAUGGAGACACUCGCAGAAGCAACUGAGAAAGUUAAGAAGGCUAAAGAAAGAAGUUUGGUGUAGAGCAAGAGGCAAAAAAAUGGAGGAAGAACAUGUAGUAAAGAGAAAGAUUGGUAAUGGAGCGAACAUUGAGAAUAUUCAAAGGAAGGUUUUAUGGGAAGAAGCUGCUGCAAAGUUUCGGGUACAUUACCAAAAAAAAUAGUAGCUUAAAAAUUCAAAGGAUACCAAAAUAGAAAUAAAGGAAUAACAAUCAUAAACAAGUUUCGUUAACUUCUUAUCUUUUUUGCUUAAUGUACAUUUUAAUAUUAAGAAAAAGAUAAUUUUGAGUUCUAUUUUAAAACU